rnacentral:rRNA from 1 species
AACGCGAAGAAUCCUUACCUGGGCUCGAACGGCUUUGGAUCAUCUUUGGAAACAGAGACUUCUCGCAAGAGACCGGAGUCGAGGUGCUGCAUGGCUGUCGUCAGCUCGUGUCGUGAGAUGUUGGGUUAAGUCCCGCAACGAGCGCAACCCUUGUCCUGUGUUGCCACUCCCGUAAGGGAAGCACUCUCAGGAGACCGCCAGCGAUAAGUUGGAGGAAGGUGGGGAUGAUGUCAAGUCAUCAUGGCCUUUAUGUCCAGGGCUACACACGUGCUACAAUGGACGGUACAAAGCGCUGCAAACCCGCGAGGGGGAGCCAAUCGCAAAAAACCGUUCUCAGUUCGGAUCGCAGGCUGCAACUCGCCUGCGUGAAGCUGGAAUCGCUAGUAAUGGCGUAUCAGAACGAUGCCGUGAAUACGUUCCCGGGUCUUGUACACACCG